GAGAGAUGACUGACUUAUGCCUGAUACUAGAGAACAUGUGUACUUAAGUUUCAUUCCACUAACUCUAUAAAGUCCUUUUUACAUAUGGGCCUCUGAAACAACAUUAUACACUUGUGCAACCUUUGCUAUUUGCUCCUGUUGAGCCUAGUCCUAUGCUGAACCCAGGAAAUAUAAAGAUGAAUGAGGGAAGAGUUCCAGCCCUUGAAAAAUGCAUGGUCACACAGGGAGCUCCCUUCUGGGGAUUUAGAUUUUGGUGAACAUCAUGGAUUCGGGCAAAGCUUUACCUGCAGUGAAGCCCUGGCACCAAUCUAUAUCCAAGAAGAGGGGCUGGAUCAAUAACUUAACGACGAAGAAUGGAGUACUGUGGAGUCAUCAAGAUGAUGAAGUCCUGACUGUGGACUGACACUGAAAUAUGAACUGAAAAUACUGGAAAGAUGAUGAUUGCCCUGAGCCUAGCACAUGGCACUCCAAGGAGCUUGCUGCGGUAUGGUAUAAAGCUCAGACUCGGCCCCUGCUUGGUGUCACAGGCUCACUGAAUUGUCCUGUCUGCCAGAAACCUGAAAGGGCCUUGUUGUUUCCCUGUGAGACUGCAGCGGGCAGAAGCAGAGAGACGCUGGUCUGGUGUCCUGAAAAGCUCUCAGUGAUUUGGCUUGGUACAGAAACGUCCUGGCCGGAUUUGUGGAAGUUGAUCUGCCUGCUCUGUCUUUAUUUGUUUCGUCUUGAUUUUUCCCCUCCAAUGGGAAAAUGAGGACUUAAAUCUUUGUGUGUGUGCAGUAUUUUUCCUUGAUAAACAAGCUCAAUACAUUCUGGAACCAUUUUACCUUCUAAUGGAACUCUUUCUGAAAGUGAAGACUUGGAAAAUGAUGCAGUGGACUACCUUUGCAGAUAUCUAUUGAGCCAGAUAAUGCUGGAAAAGGAUCAGAGAGGGCAGGAUCAGCGACACAAGGAUAUCUCCAGUGGUCUUUUUUGUCCGUGUUUGUGUUCACGUCCCAGGUGCCACUUUACCACCAGCCUCACCCACACUGAGCCCUGGCAUUCCUACCAAAUUCAUCUCCAGAGCAGCUCAGGUGUUCUCUGACCUUUUGCUCGAAACCUCAAUGCUCACUGUAAAUUUCUGCAGAUCUAGGAGUGCAAUAAACGAUGAGAGAAUUUAA